AAACGUAGACAGGUCAAAGUGUAGUAUCUGUUCUUAUCAGCUCAAUAUCUGAUACGGGUUGUUUCUAUUUGGACCCAAGAUAUUAAACUUAUUUUUGCAAGUUGGCGGAGUGCUUGAAGCCUGCUUCACCGCCGCCGCAGGUCCGCCCGAUAUAUAUUGCACUAUCUGCGGGAUUUUGGUCUACAGACA